UCAGUGCGGGUAAUAAGGGACAAUGCAUCCUAGCACUGCUGCAUUCCCUUAAGACAGGGAGAAGUGGAGACAGAGAAACAUGUCAUCUCCUUUAUAAAAAAUACAAAAAAAUACAAGGAUGUGCAACAAAACCCUGCUUUAAUUCUGCUUGAGACCUUUUCACAUCACUGACCACAAAAGGGAUUAAGACAAUGUUAUAGCAAUUCUAAGUGAUUAAGUAAUUUUAAAUGGCAAUUUCUCAAAAUGUUACCUGAUUCACAAUAAGAAAAUGCCACCAUGUCAACUAGAAAGGACCCAGAUUCUCUUUCUGUAUCAUGGGGAAAAAAAUACAACACUGAUGUAGCUUAUAGAAUGUAAUACUGGGUCCAGAAAGAAGAUAUUAAAUCAUUCUUGAAAUCCAAACAAUUUCCACUAAAGAGGGGAAAGAAAGGAAAUAAGAUUGAAAAGCAAAAAGAGUUAUAAAAAGCCGGGUUAAGUUUUAAAUUUAUCUCUUCAUUUCCUUUGUCAUUGGAUAUGACCUGAGAUGAUGUGAUGACUUACAAUGAUGAGAGAUAACCUCCAACAGAGCUCCAUAUAGAAUGAUAUAUUGAACAAAGAGAACAUCUGGAUAUUUUUCUCAGCAGCUCUACCAAUGACAUGUAUGAUUCUGUGGCAUCACUCUGUCACUCCAGCUGGAGAGUGCAAUGGUAGGAUGACAGCUCAUUGCCUCAGACUCCUGGUCUCAAGUGAUUCUCCCAACUCAGCCUCCCAAGUAGCUGGGACUACAGGUUUACACCUUACUGAAAGGCAGAGAAAAAUCAAGAAGAGAUGAGAAACCGAAAAUCCUAGAACUUAACCUGUCCAACAGAAUACAACCAGUCCAGGAAAUGAAAUUUAAACUUCUGAAGGUUUGCUCAUGAUUCUCCACUGUACUAUUCCAUAUUCCACAUAGACCAAUUUAGGCAGGGGUCAGUAAACGCAUUUUUUCUGUGGAAGGCCAGAUGGUAAAUAUUUUGAGUUUUGUGGGUCAUAUAAUCUGUUGCAACUACUUUAAUGCUGCUGUUAUAGCACACAGGCAACCAAAGAAAAUACGCAGACUAAUGGGCAUGGCUGUGUUUCAAAACAAAUUUAUUUACAAAGACUGUGGCCAUACUUAAGUGAUUUAGGUCAGCACUGUCCAUUCAGGCAACAUAUUUUCAGUACUUAAUGUAUGCCUGGAUAUCUACCAAGUCCUAAUCAUUGAAAAGUAAAAUUAUUACCUGCCUGGGGAAAUACAUUUUUAUUUUCAUUUUAAUAACUGAAUAACUGUUUUUAUUAUUUUAAUUUCAAGACACAAACUAUUGCUUUCCUUCUACUCCUUUAGUUUCAUGGUCCCCCGAGAUAUUUAAAUUUUUUUUUUUUUUUUUUUUGAGACAGAGUCUUGUUCUAUAGCCAGGUGCCAGGCUGGAGGGCAGUGGCGCAAUCUCACCUCACUGCAACCUCUGCCUCCUGGGUUCAAGCAAUUCUUCUGCCUCAGCCUCCCAAGUAGCUGGGACUAUAGGUGCAUGCCACCACACCCAGCUAAUUUUUGUAUUUUUUAGUAGAGACAGGGUUUCACCAUGUUGGCCAGGAUGGUCUCAAUCUCUCGAACUCGUGAUCCAUCCACCUUGGCCUCCCAAAGUGCUGGAUUACAGACGUGAGCCACCAUGCCCAGCCGAUAUUUAAUUUUUAUUUUGAUAAAGGGACAUAAAAUAUGUAGCCCCUUCUUCAAUUACUUAGCAUUCCUGAUUUUUGUUAUAGCUGCCUGUACUUACACUUUCACAUUCAUUCAUUCAACAAUGUAAGCGCUAAUAUGUGCCAAGCACUAUUUUAAGCCCCAGCAUACAGUUGUGAACAAAAGCAACAAAAUCUCUGCCCUCAUGGAGCUUAUAUUUUAUGGGGAAGAGAAACAGUAAGAUAAAAAAGUAAAAUAUAUAUUGUGUUAGAUGGUAAAUAAUGCCAAGGAGAAGAGUAAAGCAGAAAAGGGAGACACGUAAUUUGGGGGAGGUUUACAGUUUCAGAGAGAGUAGCCAUAGAAAGCCUUGCUGAGAGGUUGACAUUUGACUAAAUGGUUAAAGGUGGUGAGUUUUAGGAAGAGGGAACUACUAAUAAAAGGGCUGGAGGCAAGAACAGCCAGGAGGCAGUGCAGCUAGACUGGAAUGAGAGGGGAAAAAAUAAAAGGAGAUCAGACUGUGGAGUAAUCAGACUGUGGAAGCUGGAUCACAUAAUGUUAAUGUAUUUGGCUUAUCUUUAAUUAGAUAGGAAGACUCCGAGACAAGAGAUGGGCAAAGUUUUACUUAUUAAAAAUAAGAGCUUUACUGUAUAAUUCACAAAUUAUAAAAUUCAUCAUUUUAAAGUGAUUUUUAAUACAUUCACAGUUACGUAGCCAUGACUACUAUUUAAUUACAGAACAUUUUCAUGGCCCAUAAAAGAAACUCUGUGUCCAUUAGCAAUCAUUCUGUAUACUUCCCAGCCCUAAUCUAACAAUUACUAAUCUAAGUUUUGACUCUAUGCAUUUGCCUAUUCUGAACAUUUUAUACAACUGAAAUUAUAUAAUAUGUGGUCUUUUAUGCUUGGUUUCUUUUACUUAGGUUCAUCCAAGUUUUAUUGAGUACUUCAUUCCCUUUUAUGGCUGAAAAUAUUCUAUUAAUGGACAUUUGCGUUGUUUCUACCUUUAGGUAUUAUAAGAAUCCUGCCAUGAACAACUUGUAUACAAGUUUUUGUGUGGAAGCCUUAUAAUUUAAAAGGAUAUCCAAAUCUGGGGUGUUUUUUUGGGGGGGGUACAAAAAAAUUUUUAAAUGUGAUAGAUGAGUGUUAUCUUCUGAUUUUAUAAUCACCAUAUUUUCUUCCUAAUUCCUCUGAGAUUUCUACCCUUCUUGAAGAAACCAAAACCACUGACUCAGUCUCCUUCCUCCUGCUCUAGUAUUCUUGCACACAGGAAAAGAUUAAUGCUAGAUAAUCAAGAAUGAACAAUGGCAAGUAAUAAAUGAUCUUUUCCUAAACUGAGAGCUAAAGUUGGUGGAGAUGUUUUAAUACUUUAUAUAAACAGUAUAAGAAACUCCUGAAUAUCUUUUUUCUAGAUUUAUCGACUGUUCACAUUUUGCCACCUUUGCUGAAUCACUCUGUAUAUAUUUUUGUUAUAUGUAUGCAAUUUUCUUGACUCAUUUGAGGAAGCUGGAGACAUUAUGCCCUUUACCAGCAACUGUUUCAAUGUGUAUUUUCUAAAAUAAAGGACAUUCUCUUACAAAACGAAAAACGAUUAAAAUCAGAAAACUUAACAUUGAUGUUGGUUGACAUUUUAAGGAUAAAAUUAAGUAUGCUACUCUAUGCAUAAUCUACUAUACAAAUUCUAUUUCAAUAUCAUAAAAAAGCAUUUAUUUGAAAAACAAAGUGUCUUCAAGCAAUAGUGACUGAGAAAUCAUAUGUACUGAUUGCAAUAUAAUUCAAAGUAAUAAUCUAAAUUGUAUUAAAAUAAUGCCUCAAAUUUUUGGAGGAUUUCUACGGAACUUAUGGAUAUUCAGUAUACUAUUGUGAUAAAGAACUGGAAGUGGCCAGGCACAGUGGCUCAUGCCUGUAAUCCCAGCACUUUGGUAGACCAAGGUGGGUGGAUCGCCUGAGGUCAGGAGUUCAAGACCAGCCUGGCUGACAUAGUGAGUACUAAAAAUACAAAAAGUUAGCUGGGCUUGGUGGUGCAUGCCUGUAAUCCCAGCUACUUGGGAGGUUGAGGCAAGAGAACUGCUUGAACCCAAGAGGUGGAGGUUGCAUUGAGCCGAGAUCGUGCCAUUGCACUCCAGCUUGGGCAACAAGAGUGAGACUCCAUCUCAAUAAAAUAAAAUAAAAUAAAAUAAAAUAAAAGGCAAGUAGAGGAUAGAUACAAUGAUUACAUUUCUAUCUUGAUACUCCUUUGUACAUGUACAAUACUUCUCUUCAAAUAAGUUUAAAGUAACUAUCAAACUAUAAUGUUCCUUGUAUUUUAGGAGAUAUAGUAUUAUAUGAUCAUCUAAGGUAUCAUAUGAUUAGAGCUGAUGAAACGAAUGAAGCUAAGAUGAAUUUUCAUUUAUCUAGAUUUAGGAAGCAAUACUUUAGACAUGCAAAGCCACAGAGUAACAAGGAUGUUAAUAUCAGAAGAGGUAUUCCCAUCAUAUGAAUAUUUAAUAUAUACAUAGAAGGUGCUUUAAUUUCAGUGAAAAAGGGUAUCAAGAUAUAAAGUAAUUUUAUAAAGCAAGGUAGUCAACAGUAUUAUAAAACAUGUGCUCAUGUUUUAGCUUUGCCAUUCAAAGCUAAAGGCAGAUUCUGUUUAAAGAUGUUAAUGACUAUCCAGAAUGAAAGAUAAUCAGAUUCUUUAAACACUAAAGCUAUUCUUCUAAGGAAAAAAAUGUAAAUAAAGUGACAGCUGUUGUUAAUGAACAGAUAACUCCUUCUCCAAAAGACCCAGAAAGUAGCUAAUAUAUAAUUAUUCUUGAAACAUUUUUUCUCUAAUAUAAAGUUAAAAUUUACAUUUUACUCAUAGUGUAUAUAAUUCUUGGAGUCUAUCACUUUUAGCAUCUAAAAAAAUCAAGCAAAUAGUAGCUACCUAAUAUUUAUUGAGUAGAUGCAUAGAUGUAUAUAUAAACCCAAUAUAUCUAUGAUUAGCAGUGCUCUGUAAGUAAACUGAAAAUCAUUCGGGUUUUAACAUCUCCUGCAAUUUAUCUCUAGGCCUAGCAAUAAUCUGAAUACUUGUAUCAACAAUAAUAGAUCAAAUGUAUUCUGUAUUUACAAUGUACUAGGUAGUACGUGAAGUGCUAUUAACCUCUCAUUUACUCUUCAUAGCAACCCUGUAAGGUUGUAGUAACAUUUUCCCCAUUUUACAGGUUGGAAAACUAAAGUUUAGAGAAAAUGAAGGUUUAGAGAAGUGACGAAGUCAUACAGUCAGUACUGGAGGUUGGGUGGAGGACUCAGAUAUUCUUAUUCCACAGCUGACACUCAGAACCACAUUCCAUAUUGAAAUUUCUUGUACAACAUUUUUAGAUAUUGUGGGUGAGGUAUGAAGGGUGAAGGUGAACAGUUAUUUAAUGAGAAGCAAAACUCUUUUCCAUGAUCAGUGAUUUGAGACACUACAACAGAGUUAAGUAAAUUGUGUAAGAAUCCAGAGAGUCAGUGGCAAAACAAAACGGCCAGACCCCAUAGCUUCUAAUAUGAAGAAAUGGAAAAGUCAAGUUGAAUUUUAUAGCAUAUGGAUGUUUGUUUUACUCCUUUUCACCAAUAAAUAAUGUUUAUAGUCUGA